GGAUAAUAUUCCAUCGCAAUCUUUGGCUCAGCAAGACGUGCCCAUACAACAAAAGAACUUGAAUGAGGCAGCUGAAAAUAUAGCUACAACAACAUUAUGCAAGAAGACGAAGACUUACUCGAGGAAAUUUUCACCAGGCACAACUUCUGCCAUACCUUCUACAUCAGCCUUCCCUACAAGUUGUACUCCUGCUAAUGAAGACAGGACUGAGGCAGACAUCCAAGUUUCCGCUGUUACACCAAUCUCCCCUUCUGACAAAGAUGUCGAGGAAGGCACAGUUUCCCCAUCCUUAGCUAAUACCAGAAGCAAGACAUCUGAUAUUAGUCAACCACCCGACUGUCCAUUGAAAUUUGAUAAUCUAGAAGACUUCUUUGCUCGAGUUAGUGGAAAAAUUAAAUGUGCUGAAUCUCUCGGUUUUUCUGCUGA